CCUACGGGAGGCAGCAGUGGGGAAUUGUUCACAAUGGGCGCAAGCCUGAUGACGCAACGCCGCGUGGAGGAUGAAGGUCUUCGGAUUGUAAACUCCUGUUGCUCGGGACGCGGUACCGAGUGAGGAAGCCCCGGCUAACUCUGUGCCAGCAGCCGCGGUAAUACAGAGGGGGCAAGCGUUGUUCGGAAUUACUGGGCGUAAAGGGCGCGUAGGCGGCCUGUUAAGUCGAACGUGAAAUCCCUGGGCUCAACCCAGGAACUGCGUCCGAUACUGGCAGGCUUGAAUUCGGGAGAGGGAUGCGGAAUUCCAGGUGUAGCGGUGAAAUGCGUAGAUAUCUGGAGGAACACCGGUGGCGAAGGCGGCAUCCUGGACCGAAUGACGCUGAGGCGCGAAAGCCAGGGGAGCAAACGGGAUUAGAUACCCUUGUAGUC
rnacentral:rRNA from 1 species